rnacentral:rRNA from 1 species
GCCUACGGGGGGCAGCAGUGGGGAAUAUUGGGCAAUGGAGGCAACUCUUACCCAGCAAUGCCGCAUGAAUGAAGAAGGUCUUCGGAUUGUAAAGUUCUUUAAUUGGGGACGAAAAAAAUGACGGUACCCAAGGAAUAAGCCCCGGCUAACUACGUGCCAGCAGCCGCGGUAAUACGUAGGGGGCAAGCGUUAUCCGGAUUUACUGGGUGUAAAGGGAGCGUAGGCGGCGAUGCAAGUCAGAAGUGAAAGCCCGGGGCUCAACUCCGGGACUGCUUUUGAAACUGUGUUGCUAGAUUGCAGGAGAG